rnacentral:rRNA from 1 species
AGAGUUUGAUCCUGGCUCAGGAUGAACGCUAGCGGCAGGCCUAAUACAUGCAAGUCGAACGGUAAAUGCCCUUUCGGGGGUAUGAGAGUGGCGCACGGGUGCGUAACGCGUAUGCAACCCACCCGCUGCCGGGGGAUAGCCCGGAGAAAUUCGGAUUAAUACCCCAUGAGGAGUUUGAGCGGCAUCGCUUGAAUUUCAAAACUUCGGUGGCGGCGGACGGGCAUGCGUGCCAUUAGAUAGUUGGCGGGGUAACGGCCCACCAAGUCGACGAUGGCUAGGGGAUCUGAGAGGACGGUCCCCCACACUGGUACUGAGACACGGACCAGACUCCUACGGGAGGCAGCAGUAAGGGAUAUUGGUCAAUGGGGGGAACCCUGAACCAGCCAUGCCGCGUGAGGGAAUAAGGCCCUACGGGUCGUAAACCUCUUUUGCCGGGGGAUAAGACAUCCACGUGUGGGUGUUUGAAGGUACCCGGAGAAUAAGCAUCGGCUAACUCCGUGCCAGCAGCCGCGGUAAUACGGAGGAUGCGAGCGUUAUCCGGAUUUAUUGGGUUUAAAGGGUGCGCAGGCGGGCGAUUAAGUCAGCGGUGAAAGGCUCGGGCUCAACCGGAGCAGUGCCGUUGAUACUGGUUGUCUUGAAUGCGGUCAAGGCCGGCGGAAUGUGGCGUGUAGCGGUGAAAUGCAUAGAUAUGCCACAGAACACCGAUAGCGAAGGCAGCUGGCCGGGCCUGCAUUGACGCUGAGGCACGAAAGCGUGGGGAUCGAACAGGAUUAGAUACCCUGGUAGUCCACGCUGUAAACGAU